rnacentral:tRNA from 1 species
GGGGAAGUGGUCUAAUGGUAGAAUACCGAGAGUGAACCCCCAUGGCCUCUGUGCUGUGCUCUUAGCGGACUCUGCUCUGCUCUCCCUACGGACUCUGUUCUGUAUUUCCCCAUGGCCACUGUGCUGUGUUUUCACUCGGAGAUGUCGGUUCGAUUCCGACCUUCCCCA